rnacentral:lncRNA from 1 species
UUGGGUGCCAAGGGCCUGUGAUGGCCUUCUUCCUUUUUUGUGCCACCCACUACACCGACUCAAGUUUCUUGAUUCUCAUUCCUGAAAAAGGUAAUCCAAAGUGAAAGGAUUAGAGUCCCGCAAAGCCAAGUGAGACCGAAAUGAAUAACUACACCAGCAUACUAGAGGGUUUGGUGGGGCUCAAGCCAAUAUUGUAGAGCAUCAACUCAAAAAAGAGCUCCCAU